CAUUCUCUCUUUCUCCAUCUUUCAAGUUCAUUCAUCUAAGCUUUUCACGUCCCAUCACCCAAACGCUCUCCUCUCUCCCUCCCCUUCCCACAUCUCCUAAAUUCCACAACACAAAUUAAAAAAUAAAAAAUUUUAAAUUUUAAAUUUUAAAAAAUUAAAAAAAUUAAAAAUUAAAAAGCCCUUUUUUUUUUUCUUCCAAAAAAAACAGACAAUCCCACCACCACAUCAACGCUCUCAACCUUUCCCGUGAAUCCAUUUUUUUUCUUUCCAUCUCUUCCCUUAAAAAAUUUCAUGAUUUUGCCCAAACCCCAACAACCCAAUUAAGUUGCUCCUCCCUUAAUGGAUUCCGUGACUGAAUCCGGCGGUGGUGGGUCGUCGGAGCCCACGGGGGAGGGCUCGUCAGCUGGUGGCUCAGCACCGUUGGCGGCGGCGGCCGCGGCAGCUCCACCGAGCCGGUAUGAAUCUCAGAAGAGAAGGGAUUGGAACACGUUUUUGCAGUACUUGAAGAACCACAAGCCGCCACUGUCUUUAGCGCGUUGCAGUGGCGCUCACGUGAUCGAAUUCUUGAAGUACUUAGACCAGUUCGGGAAGACUAAGGUCCAUGGAUCGGGCUGCCCGUAUUUCGGUCAUCCUAACCCCCCUGCUCCUUGCCCCUGCCCGCUCAAGCAAGCUUGGGGCAGCCUCGACGCCUUGAUCGGCCGCCUUAGAGCCGCCUACGAGGAGAACGGCGGCCGCCCCGAAUCCAACCCAUUCGCCGCACGUGCCGUCAGGAUUUAUCUCCGUGAGGUCCGCGAAGCUCAAGCCAAAGCCAGAGGGAUUCCCUACGAGAAAAAGAAGCGGAAAAGAGCCGCCGCCAAUGUGUCGGUGCCUCCACCAACUGAUGUUAGCUUGGCGGGGAGUAGUAGCUCCGCCACCGUCGGUGCCGAUAUUCAACCGGAAACAACCGCUGCUGGUGAUCAAACUGGUGACGCUCCGCCGUCCACAACCGCCGCUUCCACCACCGUAUAGUCGCUUCUACUGGUUUUUCCUUCAAUUACUUUCUUUUUUUUUUUUUUUUUUUUUUUUUUUUUAUAAAUGUUUUGCUUCAAAUAUUAGCAUCAUCUCAUCAUCAUCAUCUCUCCUAAUUGUGAUUAUGAGUUUUAUUUAAUCAUAUAAUAUUCAACCAUUCUCAUUAA